rnacentral:lncRNA from 1 species
CUUCAAUCAGAUAAGGCGGGGAGCCCGGAGUCCGCGGUCCGAUCGGGCACAGCGCGAACGGAACCGAGGAGGCGGAGUGCCCGGGUCCACUCCACGACAAGACGCCCUUCUCCCGGCGCCACCGCUGCCCAUGGCGAAUAUGCAGGACAGAUAUGGUUGGAAUUCAUGAACCGAUGAAAGACACUUGGUAAACGAGAGAGAGGCAACAGACAGCGCAGGAAUGAAGAAUAAAACGUUCUCGGUGAAACAGCAAAUGUUGGACUGGGCACCCUGAAAAAUCACUCUGAAUUACGGGCAUCUGUCUACACAAUUGUGGAGUUGAAAUUUGAAAAAUGAAAAAAGAUACUAAUAAUCAACCAUAUUCGGCAACGCCAUGUUUUUUAAAUGGCAUUUUUACUAAAUGUGUUUUAUAAUAACUAUGGGGUUUAAUCAAGAAAUAAUCUGACACAAUCGCGUUUUGUCAGAAAUAUGAGGUAGAAAAACAAUGAUCGGUUAUCAAAUAAUUGUUCCUUUUCUUUUUCAAAAACUAGUAAUUGUGAUAUACAUGAGCGAGCGACA